rnacentral:sRNA from 1 species
CCAUUAUGGUUUAAGUUCUUAUACUCAAUCAUACACAUGACAUCUAGUCAUAUUCUACUCCAAAACACUAACCAAGCUUCUUCUAGCUUCUCAAAGCUUUCAUGGUGUAGCCAAAGUCCGUAUGACUCUUUGGCUUUGUAUCUUCUAACAAGGAAACACUACUUAGGCUUUUAAGAUCGAGUUGCGGUGUAAGUUCUUAUAAUCAAUCAUACACAUGACCUCAAGUCAUAUUCGACUCCAAAACACUAACCAAGCCUCUUCUAGCU